rnacentral:misc_RNA from 1 species
GGUGUUUGGAUUGUCUCUGCCGGCUGGCUCCGUGCUCGCCCACCGAACGGUCGGCAUGCGAUCCGUGUCCCUUGUUGUGAGGUGGGAUGGUGCCUCAAGAGGCUGGUUCUUGUGUUGCCUACCCUUCAAGGGAAGAGGCCGCUUGAAAGUUAGCCUCCAUCCNGCGCCUUCCAAUGGGCGCAGGAGGACAACGAAGCACCCCUCGUGUUCCACCGAGCCUUCGUCGGUCGCGUGGCCCACGGGGACGUGCAAUGCUCUCGGACCCGGCGCACGCCGUGGACGUGGACUCGUGUCUCGUCCCAAGUGAAGCUUCGAUAUAACGUGAGACGGCCGCUCUCGCCCCUUGACCGCCUCGGAGGUGCAAGGGCGACGCGCGACGUNNNNGAGGAUUGCUACCUGGUUGAUCCUGCCAGUAGU